AACGAACGCUGGCGGCAGGCUUAACACAUGCAAGUCGAACGCCCCGCAAGGGGAGUGGCAGACGGGUGAGUAACGCGUGGGAACGUGCCCUUCGCUUCGGAAUAGCCCCGGGAAACUGGGAGUAAUACCGAAUACGCCGUAUUGGGAAAGAUUUAUCGGCGAAGGAUCGGCCCGCGUUAGAUUAGCUAGUUGGCGGUGUAAUGGACCACCAAGGCUACGAUCUAUAGCUGGUCUGAGAGGAUGAUCAGCCACACUGGGACUGAGACACGGCCCAGACUCCUACGGGAGGCAGCAGUAGGGAAUAUUGGACAAUGGGGGCAACCCUGAUCCAGCGACGCCGCGUGAGUGAUGAAGGCCUUCGGGUCGUAAAGCUCUGUUGCAGGGGAAAAACACAAUGAUGGUACCCUGCGAGGAAGGAUCGGCUAACUUCGUGCCAGCAGCCGCCGUAAAAC
rnacentral:rRNA from 1 species